UUGGAGGGCAAGUCUGGUGCCAGCAGCCGCGGUAAUUCCAGCUCCAAUAGCGUAUAUUAAAGUUGUUGCAGUUAAAAAGCUCGUAGUUGAAUUUCGGGGUUCUACCGUUGGUCGGGCUUUGUCUGUACUGGUGUGUAGAAUUUCUACCUUCUGGGGAACCAUCAUGCUAUUAAUUUAGCGUGGUGGGAAACCAGGACCUUUACCUUGAAAAAAUUAGUGUGUUCAAAGCAGGCUUAUGUCUGAAUACAUUAGCGUGGAAUAAUAGAAUAGGACGGUGGUCCUGUUUUGUUGGUUUCUGAAUCACCGUAAUGAUUAAUAGGGAUAGUUGGGGGCAUUAGUAUUCAAUUGUCAGAGGUGAAAUUCUUGGAUUUAUUGAAGACUAACUUCUGCGAAAGCAUUUGCCAAGGAUGUUUUCAUUAAUCAAGAACGAAAGUUAGGGGAUCGAAGACGAUCAGACACCGUCGUAGUCUUAACCAUAAACUAUGCCGACUAGGGAUCGGACGAUGUUAAUUUUUCUUGACUCGUUCGGCGCCUUACGGGAAAC
rnacentral:rRNA from 1 species